rnacentral:lncRNA from 1 species
CUCCUGUUUCUGGAUCUUACUUUCUGGAGGCCGGUGAUAAGAGUUCUCACAGAUUAAAGAACAAGGAGAUGGCUGGCUAUUUAAGAAGGAAAGGCAGAGGCUGCAGAAAUUGAGCCUAACGGCUUAUCAGAUGGGAUGGAUAAUUCUUUAAGUUUAAAAGAACUACUCAUUUUCCCCAACAUCUGUCUUUGCCAUCUUCCUAUCUAAGGAACCUUUCACUUUUUAGCUGGGGACAUAGCUUUCUGGUAUGAGAACUACACUGCUCAAACUUCCAAUCAGCUUGUAUGCACUUGGUGAAUCUUACCUACCACAAACAGAAGUCUGGAAAGUGAAAAUUUAUUUCCUUUUCACCAUGACCAGCCUUGUUCAGAACAUCUGAGAGGCACAGACCUGAGAAAGAAUCCCCAGGCUGAAGAGGUAGAAGUUGGCAGAAGUUAAAAGCAAUGUCUCCACAAUGGAGAAGUGACAUGCUAAAGGAACCUGGCAUCUAGACAUUUCCUAACCCCCAAUCCCUCCUUACAUAUGACCUGCUCUUAGAGGAGUACAGCGUGGUGGUUAGGAGUGUGGACUCGGCAGCCAGAAAUCCUGGGAUCUGUUGCUUGUUAGCUGUGGGCCUUAAGCUAAGAACUUAACCUCUCUGUGCCUCAGUUGCUCCAUCUGUUCAAAUGAAGAUAAUGAUAAUGAAGAUGAUAUCACCUGCUGUGUAGGAUUGUUAUGAAAAAUCAAGAAUUAAUAUUUGUAAAUCACUUACAGGGUCUGGCACAUAAUAAGUGCUGUGUGGGUGUUUGUUA